rnacentral:rRNA from 1 species
CUACGGGGGGCAGCAGUGAGGAAUAUUGCACAAUGGAGGAAACUCUGAUGCAGCAACGCCGCGUGGAGGAUGACGCAUUUCGGUGUGUAAACUCCUUUUAUAUGUCAAGAAAAUGACGGUAGCAUAUGAAUAAGCUCCGGCUAACUCCGUGCCAGCAGCCGCGGUAAUACGGAGGGAGCAAGCGUUACUCGGAAUCACUGGGCGUAAAGGACGCGUAGGCGGGAUAGAAAGUCGGGUGUGAAAUCCUAUGGCUCAACCAUAGAACUGCACUUGAAACUUCUAACCUAGAAUAUGGGAGGGGAAGAUGGAAUUAGUGGUGUAGGGGUAAAAUCCGUAGAUAUCACUAGGAAUACCAAAAGCGAAGGCGAUCUUCUGGAACAAUACUGACGCUAAGGCGUGAAAGCGUGGGGAGCAAACAGGAUUAGAUACCCUAGUAGUC